CAGAGGGUGCAAGCGUUGUUCGGAAUUACUGGGCGUAAAGCGUGCGUAGUCGGUAUUGAGAGUCGCGGGUGAAAUCCCAGGGCUUAACCCUGGAACUGCCUGCGAGACCUCAGUACUAGAGUGUGAGAGGGGAUAGUGGAAUACCCAGUGUAGCGGUGAAAUGCGUAGAGAUUGGGUGGAACACCGGUGGCGAAGGCGGCUAUCUGGCUCACAACUGACGAUCAGGCACGAAAGCGUGGGGAGCAAACAGGAUUAGAUACCCUGGUAGUCCACGCCGUAAACUAUCCAUACAAGCUGUAGUGGGGUUUUACUCCUGCUGUGGCGAAGCUAACGCAAUUAGUAUGGCGCCUGGGGAGUACGGUCGCAAGACUA
rnacentral:rRNA from 1 species